GAACAACGCUGGCGGCGUGCCUAAUGCAUGCAAGUCGGACGGGACCCGCCUUGAGCGGACGACCGUGGCGGACGGGUGAGGAACACGUGGGUAACCUGCCCCGACGCGGGGGAUACCCCC
rnacentral:rRNA from 1 species